rnacentral:tRNA from 1 species
CAGGAAAUAGUUUAAAUUAAAAUAUUAAUUUUGGGAAUUAAAGAUAAAGGGUUACUCUUUUUUCCUGA